AACGAACGCUGGCGGCAGGCUUAACACAUGCAAGUCGAGCGCCCCGCAAGGGGAGCGGCAGGCGGGUGAGUAACGCGUGGGAAUCUACCCAUCUCUACGGAAUAACGCAUGGAAACGUGUGCUAAUACCGUAUACGUCCUUCGGGAGAAAGAUUUAUCGGAGAUGGAUGAGCCCGCGUUGGAUUAGCUAGUUGGUGGGGUAAAGGCCUACCAAGGCGACGAUCCAUAGCUGGUCUGAGAGGAUGAUCAGCCACACUGGGACUGAGACAAGGCCCAGACUCCUACGGGAGGCAGCAGUGGGGAAUAUUGGACAAUGGGCGCAAGCCUGAUCCAGCCAUGCCGCGUGAGUGAUGAAGGCCCUAGGGUUGUAAAGCUCUUUCACCGGUGAAGAUAAUGACGGUAACCGGAGAAGAAGCCCCGGCUAACUUCGUGCCAGCCGCCGCGGUAAGAC
rnacentral:rRNA from 1 species